AAAAGAUCUUUACCAAUCCUACAACAGAUAGAGGCCUUAUAUCCAAAAUAUACAAAGAACUCAAGAAGUUAGACCACAGGAAAACAAAUAACCCUAUUAAAAAAUGGGGUUCAGAGCUAAACAAAGAUUUCACAGCUGAGGAAUGCCGAAUGGCUGAGAAACACCUAAAGAAAUGUUCAACAUCUUUAGUCAUAAGGGAAAUGCAAAUCAAAACAACCCUGAGAUUUCACCUCACACCAGUGAGAAUGGCUAAGAUCAAAAUCUCAGGUGACAGCAGAUGCUGGCGAGGAUGUGGAGAAAGAGGAACACUCCUCCAUUGUUGGUGGGAUUGCAGACUGGUAAAACCAUUCUGGAAAUCAGUCUGGAGGUUCCUCAGCAAAUUGGACAUUGAACUGCCUGAGGAUCCAGCUAUACCUCUCUUGGGCAUAUACCCAAAAGAUGCCUCAACAUAUAAAAGAGACACGUGCUCCACUAUGUUCAUCGCAGCCUUAUUUAUAAUAGCCAGAUAAUGGAAAGAACCCAGAUGCCCUUCAACAGAGGAAUGGAUACAGAAAAUGUGGUACAUCUACACAAUGGAAUAUUACUCAGCUAUCAAAAACAACGAGUU
rnacentral:lncRNA from 1 species